CCUGAGUGUGGUGGUGCAUGCCUGUAAUCCCUGCUACUCCCGAGUAGGCUGAGGUUGGGGGAUUGCUUGAGUUUGGGAGUUCUGAGCUAUAUAAGGCCUAAAGUUGAUUGGUUGUCCACUUUAAGUCUGGCGCCAAUAUAGUGAGCUCCUAGAAGCAAGGGACCGCCAGACUGUCUAAAGAGGGGUGAACCUGCUCAGGUUAGAAAUGGAGCACCUCAAGCUUUUAUGAUGCUGGUCAAUGUGGGAUUGAACUCAUGAAUGACCAAGGCACAAGUAACAGCUUAGUCAAGAAAGGGAGACACCAUCUUA
rnacentral:SRP_RNA from 1 species